rnacentral:misc_RNA from 1 species
AUUGGUUUGGAUAAGUAGACAUGCCAAUAGGAUUCCGAUAGCAGUAUUGCAUAUGACUUCCUACCAUUCUGUGAGUUAUGGCUUAUAGUGCCAAUUUGUGAUAUUGUGGCUUUUAGCCAUUUUGAUACAUUUAAUAUACUUGGCCUUGUGCCCGAUGAUGAUUAUGGCUUGGUAGCCAUUCUGUUGCAUACCUGAAGACACUUUGUGACCGAUGGUGUG